rnacentral:rRNA from 1 species
UUGAAAGGGAAACGAUUGAAGUCAGUCGUACCGGUGGGUAAUCAGCCUUUCGGCGUGAUUAUGUGGAGCGUGAGGAGUUAAACGCCCUCAUGCCUGCAUAUUCGUGUUCUUUGGGUGUACUUACCCGCAUGGUAGGUUAACAUCAAUUUCGAACGUCAUAAAAUGAUUGGAGGAAUGUAGCUUCGAUCUCGUAUUGAAGUGUUAUAGCCUUCGGUAGAUGUGAUGAUUGGGAUUGAGGAUUGCAACGGAUACCCUUCGGGGCUACCUGUCUGAUCUCUGAAAGUUGCUCUGGUGCUGAAAGCUUGCUUAUGGUAUCAAAGUUGACGUUCAACAGGUUAGAACGGGAUAAAUUCGUUAAUCCAUAUGACUAGUAGAUCCCUCUAGAGUCGACCUGCAGGCAUGCAAGCUUUCCCUAUAGUGAGUCGUAUUAGAGCUUGGCGUAAUCAUG